ACAAGCGGUGGAGUAUGUGGUUUAAUUCGACGCCAACGCGCAGAACCUUACCUGGUCUUGACAUCCCGAGAAUUUCCUGGAAACAGGAAAGUGCCUCGCAAGAGGAACUUGGUGACAGGUGCUGCAUGGCUGUCGUCAGCUCGUGUCGUGAGAUGUUGGGUUAAGUCCCGCAACGAGCGCAACCCUUGUCUUUAGUUGCCAUCAUUAAGUUGGGCACUCUAAAGAGACUGCCGGUGUCAAACCGGAGGAAGGUGGGGAUGACGUCAAGUCCUCAUGGCCUUUAUGACCAGGGCUACACACGUACUACAAUGGCAGGUACAAAGGGCAGCCACUUAGCGAUAAGGAGCGAAUCCCGUAAAACCUGUCUCAGUCCGGAUUGGAGUCUACAACUCGACUCCAUGAAGUUGGAAUCGCUAGUAAUCGCAGAUCAGCACGCUGCGGUGAAUACGUUCCCGGGCCUU
rnacentral:rRNA from 1 species